CAACAUGUUUAUUAUAGAGAGUUAAACAGAGUGGUAGGGUUAUUAAAUACAGAUAAACAAGAAGGUAGGAUCUUUGGUGUAUUGCUGGUUCAAGGAGACAUUAACUAAUAUUGGAGCAGUCUCUGUAGUGGGGACAUCUUCAGGCCUCAGGUAUCUGGGGAGAGAAAGCUAUGGCAAACAUUUUCCAUACCUAUUGUCAACAUCCUCACUUGGACCAGAAGAAGGCUUUGGCAGGCCUCUGAGCCUCACCCCCGGAGAGAAGGUACUCGGCAUGACUGUGCUCAUGUCAACAGUACAUUCACUCCGGACUUCACCUGUCCAGGGUUUUCUCUGCUCCCUACUGGUGGGAGUACAUGCUUUUAAUUAACCCAGCACUUAGGAGGCAGAAACAGGUGGAUCUCUGAGUUUGAGGUAGCCUGGUCUACAUAGAGAGUCCCAGCCCAGCCAGGGCUACAUAGUAAGACCUUCUCUCAAAAGAUGGGGGGAGGAGGAGGAAAGAAAAUAAAGCAACCUUCGUCACUUGUGUCAUUUCCCUCCCCAUGGGCACUUACAUAACAAUAUGAGGAACCACUAGUGUUGGGGGUGGGGCACUGGAUGGGACGGUACAGACUGGAUGAUACAAGACUGUUCAGGAGAUUCAAGAGUUUCUGAACAGGAUUUCAGGUUUCUGAGGGAGGUGUCUGGGUUCCUGGGUGGCGUCCCUCCCCCUCUCCAUGCCUAUCUGCUUUUGAGAGGAAUCCACAGGCCACAAAAGGGUUAGAAAUGGAGCUUAGAAGAGGGGAAACCAGGAAGGAAGGAAAGAAGGGAGGGAGGGAAGGAGGCAGGCAGGGAUAACGAGCUAAAUAGAUUAAGUAAGCUGCAAUCCCUGGGGCCAUCUUCGAGGGUGCAGCCAGACAGGGGCAAGAUGUUUGCAAUUACAGGUCAGAGGUAGCUCGAAGAAAGCACAGUUGGCACAUUCUCUCCUGAGUUCGAUGUUCCCAGAGAAGACGCCCGCCCGCCCGCCUGCCCCCUCUGCUCGAGAAAGGCCGUCCAGGUUAGCUUUGAUUGAGUGCUCGCAUUCCACUCCAUUCCUUAUCGCAGCAUUCCUGACCAAAAAGGAGCAACUAAUGGAGAAGGGGCUCUGGUGACAGCGCUCCAGCCACCCCGGGGCUUUUUCCUUACAGUGCAAACUCGCGGAACAGUGAGGAAAGGGACAUCCAGACAACCUGGGCUGUGUGCCUGCUGAACACUCUGGUGUCCUCCGUCUCGUCGCUUUGGUUCAUGGGGCAGCCACUGCCUCGCCUCUUUGGUUUCAGGGGGCAGCCACCGGCCCGUGUCACAGCAUCCUCUCACGGACAUGCUUCAGUUUGCACCGAAGAAGCUGAGCACAGACCUUGUCGACUGGAAACGCUUGCUCUCCUUCAGAGAUUCAGUCCAUUAUCUUCAUGAUGGGUGGCAUGCAGGCAAACAGGUGCUGGAGAGGUAGCUGAGAGUUUUACAUCUUUAUCUGUAGGCAGCAGAUGGAGACUAGGCAUAGCUUGAGGGUAUGACAUCUCAAAGUCAGCCUCCACUCU
ensembl:lncRNA